UACGUAGGGGGCAAGCGUUGUCCGGAAUCAUUGGGCGUAAAGAGCGUGUAGGCGGCCAGAAAAGUCCGCUGUGAAAACUCGAGGCUCAACUUCGAGCUGUCGGUGGAAACUUUUUCUGGCUAGAGUCCGGAAGAGGAGAAUGGAAUUCCUGGUGGUAGCGGUGAAAUGCGCAGAUAUCAGGAAGAACACCCCGUGGCGAAGGCGGUUUCUCUGGGACGGUACUGACGCUGAGACGCGAAAGCGUGGGGAGCGAACAGG
rnacentral:rRNA from 1 species